CCGGAUAUCCCGGCAAUGGAAUGAUUCUUACUUUUUUCAGCUAUCCAAGUAAGCUUUGUAUUGGGUAGUCGUUAGGUUUUCCGCACCAAGAGCUCAGCACUGUUACUUGCAUCUCUGUUCUCUCUGUUCCAGUUCUAUUGAAAUUGCUGCUGCUGCUCCUCCUCCUCCUCCAGUUAAGUCAUCAAAAUAAUUCCAUUCAAUUUAUUAUUAUGCAACAUAAACCAUUUCCAUUUUACACUCAUAAAAAACACACAAAUUCUGUUCUUUAUCUCAAUUUAUCAUUUAUUUUGCCUCCAAGAUUUUAAACCCUAAGAAAACCCAUAAUAGCUCUCAUCCUUCUUUCGUUGGUGAAUCACAUUUUGUUGGGUUGAGCAUUGUCCUUGAGAAAAUCUAGCUUAGCAUGAGUAAUGUUACGCAAAGAGAACCACCCAAAUUCCCAUGUGAAAUAGACACAGAGCUGGACAGGAUCAGCAGCUUACCUGGGCAUGUUUUAGGCCAAAUUCUAUCACUUUUGCCAAUUAGGGAUGCAGUGAGAACUAGUGCUUUAAAAAGAAAGUGGAGGUACAAAUGGUCUCAAAUUCCUCAUAUUGUGUUUGAUUCUCAAGGCAUCUCAAUCUCUUCCCAAGAUCAAACUACAAUUAAGAAUAAGCUUGUCAAUAUUAUCGACCAUAUACUUUUACUUCACAAUGGUCCAAUUUACAAGUUCAAACUAUCUCACUGCGAUCUAUUAGCUGUCAGCGAUAUUGAUCGAUGGAUUCUUCAUUUAUCGAGAGGUUCUGCCAAAGAAUUUGUACUUGAGAUAUGGAAAGGCCAGCAGUAUAAGUUGCCUUCUUGUUUGUUCUCAUUUAAGAACUUGGUUUAUUUAGAAUUAUUUAAUUGUUUGCUAAAACCUCCUUUGGCUUUCAAAGGAUUCCGGAAUUUGAAGAAUCUUGACCUUCAGCAUGUUACCCUGGCACAGGAGGUGUUUGAGAAACUGAUUUCUAGCUGUGCUAUGCUUGAGAGGUUGACAUUGAUUAACUUUGAUGGUUUUACUCAUCUUAACAUCAAUGCACCUAAUCUUCAAUUUUUUGAUGUCGGAGGUGUUUUUGAUGAUGUUAGUUUUGAGAAUACUUUUGUACUGGCUCUGGUUUCCAUUGGAUUGUAUGUGAAUGUCAAAAAUGACCAGAAUGUAUCUUAUGGGAGUUCUAGUAAAUUGCUCAGGUUUUUUGUUAAUCUGCCCCAUGUUCGAAGACUUGAGAUUCAGAGUUACUUUCUUAAGUAUUUGGCUAUCGGCAAAGUUCCAAGCAAGUUGCCAAAGCCAUGCAUUGAUCUGAACUACCUUUCUAUACGCUUAAAUUUCAAUGACUAUGAAGAGAAUUCAGCUGCCUUUUGUCUGUUGAGAAGCUGCCCCAAUUUGCAAGAAAUAGAGAUAUUGGCUCGCCCAGAGGAACAAGCUGUUGUGGGACCAGUAACUGAUUUCUGGGACGAUGACCAUUGGAAGUGUUUAUUUGGCCAAUUGCGACUGGUGAAAAUAGUUGGCAUCUCUGGCAUUAGAUCUGAACUUGAUUGCAUUAAAUUUCUGCUUUCAAACUCUCCUGUGCUUGAGAAGAUGACCAUUAAGCCUGUUUCCAACGAGGGAGGAUGGGAGUUGGUAAAACAAUUGCUGCAUUUUCGGCGAGCCUCAAUCCAAGCAGAAGUCUUUCAUCUGGAGCUAUAACUAUGGACUGCGUUUUGGGCAGGAUAUCCAUAGGAACAUAUCCUUUACUUUUCUAACUCUACCCUCCUAAUCAAGGCGACCCGUCUCAAAUCUAAGCAGAAUGCUCUCGUUCAACGCUCUAAAUAGAAUUAAAUCAAAGGAGAAGCCAGGCAUGGGGCUAGUUGUCGCUCAUAAAUCUUGAGAGAUACUGCAUGCUGUACAAAUCAUGGGAGUUACAAAGAUGUUCCAAGCCAACGAAGGAUCUUGGUGAGUAGCACGUUAUUCAUGCUACCUUAACUUUAGGUCCUAUUCUAAUAUUAACAGGACUCGGUUUACUUUAUGCAUUUCUUCAUUUAAUUUCCUUCAAUCAAGAAUAUGGAGUCACGGUCGAGUAUGGUUCUUAGUUCAUGGUCGCAGCUCCAACCAAUCACUACCGAAAUCCAAUUGAGAGGGAAGCAGGACAUCGUUAGUCCCAAGAAAGGGCCAGUGUUACUUCGGUUUGUCGAAACUCUCUCACACAACCAACCUUGUAAUCAUAACACAGCCAGAUAACCAUAGCUAAAGUGUAUUAGUAGCUAAAGAAGUUAUGGCCACGGAUAUUACUCCACUUCUACCUAGCCAGAACAAUAUUGGGCAUCAUGAGCAAAAACUUUUUAGCAUUGUUAAUGAGUCCGGGCAAGAAUCAAAGAGGUUAUGGAAGCUUGCAGGGCCAGCAAUUCUUACUACCAUAUGUCAAAACUCGCUUGGUGCACUCACUCAAACCUUUGCAGGUCUCGUCAAUGAGGUUGAUCUUGCUGCUGUUUCUGUUGAGAAUUCUGUUAUUGCUGGUCUAGCAUUUGGGGUCAUGUUGGGAAUGGGGAGUGCAUUGGAGACACUAUGUGGGCAAGCAUAUGGCGCUGGAAAGCUGAGAAUGUUGGGCAGAUACAUGCAGAGAUCAUGGAUCAUUCUCUUGACAACGGCUUGCUUAAUGAUACCAAUUUAUGUUUGGUCUCCUCCCAUGUUAGAGCUCUUUGGAGAGACGACUCAGAUAUCUGAAGCUGCUGAAACAAACGUUAACUAAUGGAUUCAUCGGAAUAAACAACCCAGCUGGAAAAAAGGAGGAAAGACCAAAAUGAUCCGGUGCGGGUUUCAGACUAAACGUGCCUCCUACAUUCACUUGUGGAUGGAACAAUAUUCUCACGGUUGGUUGGGGAUUUUGGUUACAGGGAAAUUUGCUCGGUGUAUGCUUCCACAAUUGUUUGCUUAUGCAAAUAAUUUUCCCAUUCAAAAGUUCUUGCAAGCACAGGGGAAAGUCAUGGCCACGGCCUGGGUAUCAGCUGUGGUACUGGCGUUACACCUUCUGCCAUGACUUAAACUAACUCUUUCCUAAGUUUUCCGAACCAAUUCAGAACUGAUGCAGCUAGAAGUGAGUGACCUCCGACAAAGUAAACUAGCUGGUGUCACCUCAAGCGGAAUGUGCUCUCAAAUAAUUUUUCUGUUGUAUCCAUGAAUGUCUUGAUCUUUAACUUUGUUGUACUUGUGACACAUUUGAAUGUCAUCGAUGAAUUGGUUUAGCUUCAGUGAUU